rnacentral:rRNA from 1 species
UACAGAGGGUGCGAGCGUUGUUCGGAAUUACUGGGCGUAAAGCGCGCGCAGGCGGUCCUUUAAGUCUACCCGUGAAAUGCCGGAGCUCAACUCCGUGCACGCCGGGGGAUACUGGGGGACUGGAGACAUGUAGAGGCAAGCGGAAUUCCGGGUGUAGCGGUGGAAUGCGCAGAUAUCGUAAGGAAGACCAGUGGCGAAGGCGGGUCUCUGG